rnacentral:rRNA from 1 species
AUUGAACGCGUGGCGCAUGCCGUUACACAUGCAAGUCGAACGGGUAACAGGUCUUACGGGACGCUGACGAGUGGCGAACGGGUGAGUAAUACAUCGGAACGUGCCCAGUCGUGGGGGAUAACUACUCGAAAGAGUAGCUAAUACCGCAUACGAUCUGAGGAUGAAAGCGGGGGACCUUCGGGCCUCGCGCGAUUGGAGCGGCCGAUGGCAGAUUAGGUAGUUGGUGGGAUAAAAGCUUACCAAGCCGACGAUCUGUAGCUGGUCUGAGAGGACGACCAGCCACACUGGGACUGAGACACGGCCCAG